rnacentral:rRNA from 1 species
AAACCAACAGGGAUUGCCCUAGUAACGGCGAGUGAAGCGGCAACAGCUCAAAUUUGAAAUCUGGCGCAAGCCCGAGUUGUAAUUUGUAGAGGAUGCUUCUGGGCAGCGGCCGGUCUAAGUUCCUUGGAACAGGUCGUCAUAGAGGGUGGGAACCCCGUAUGUGACCGGCGCGCACCCUCCACGUAGCUCCUUCGACGAGUCGAGUUGUUUGGGAAUGCAGCUCUAAAUGGGAGGUAAAUUUCUUCUAAAGCUAAAUACCGGCCAGAGACCGAUAGCGCACAAGUAGAGUGAUCGAAAGGUGAAAAGCACUUUGGAAAGAGAGUUAAAAAGCACGUGAAAUUGUUGAAAGGGAAGCGCUUGCAACCAGACUCCGCGGCGGUGUUCCGCCGGUCUUCUGACCGGUCUACUCGCCGCCGUGGGGCCAACAUCGUCUGGGGCCGCCGGAUAAGACCGUUGGAAUGUGGCUCCCUCGGGAGUGUUAUAGCCAGCGGUGAUGCGGCGCGUCUCGGGCGAGGUCCGCGCUUCGGCAAGGAUGUUGGCGUAAUGGUUGCCAGCGGC